GGAGAUGUACUCAAGUGGUUCAAGAGGAGGCACUCGAAAUGCUUUAGGCCGGUCAUCGGUGCGUGGGUUCGAAUCCCACCAUCUCCG
rnacentral:tRNA from 1 species